UAGAGUUUGAUCCUGGCUCAGGAUGAACGCUAGCGGCUGUGCCUAAUGCAUGCAAGUCGAACGGGAUUCCCUGACUUCGGUUGGGGAUGAGAGUGGCGAACGGGUGAGUAACACGUAGGUGACCUGCCCUCGGGAGGGGGACAACCAGUGGAAACGCUGGCUAAUACCCCGGAUGUCAAUCUAGUUAGAGAGGAUUGACUAAAGCUCCGGCGCCCGAGGAGGGGCCUGCGACCCAUCAGCUAGUUGGUAGGGUAAAAGCCUACCAAGGCCGAGACGGGUAGGGGGCGUGAGAGCGUGGCCCCCCACACUGGUACUGACACACGGACCAGAUACCUACGGGUAGCAGCAGCAAGGAAUAUUGCGCAAUGGGCGAAAGCCUGACGCAGCAACGCCGCGUGGAGGAUGAAGGCCUUCGGGUUGUAAACUCCUUUUCUGGGGGAAGAGAAAGGACGGUACCCCAGGAAUAAGGCCCGGCUAACUACGUGCCAGCAGCCGCGGUAAAACGUAGGGGUCAAGCGUUAUCCGGAAUUACUGGGCGUAAAGGGCGCGUAGGCGGUUGCCAAAGUUGGACGUGAAAGCUCCUGGCUCAACUGGGAGAGGCCGUUCAAAACUAGGCGACUAGAGGAUGGUAGAGGCGAGUGGAAUUCCCGGUGUAGUGGUGAAAUGCGUAAUUUCGGGAGGAACACCAGUGGGCGAAGGCGGCUCGCUGGGCCCACACCCUGACGCUAGGCGCGAAAGCCAGGGGAGAGAACCGGGAUUUAGAACCCCGGUAUUCCUGCCGUAACGAUGUCAAACUAAGUGUAGAGAGCCGAACAGGCAGCUGUGCUGAAGCAAACGCGAUAAGUUGACCGCCUGGGGAGUACGGCCGCAAGGCUAAAACUCAAAGGAAUUGACGGGGGCCCGCACAAGCAGCGGAGCGUGUGGUUUAAUUCGAGGCUACGCGAAGAACCUUACCAGGGUUUGACAUGUACGUGGUAGGUAUUGGAAACAAUGCUGACCCUUCGGGGAGCGUACACAGGUGCUGCAUGGCUGUCGUCAGCUCGUGCCGUGAGGUGUUAGGUUAAGCCCUGUAACGAGCGCAACCCUCGUCGUUAGUUACAAGUGUCUAACGAGACUGCCGGUGAUAAGCCGGAGGAAGGUGGGGAUGACGUCAAGUCAGCAUGGCCUAUAUAUCCUGGGCUACACACACGCUACAAUGGCCGGUACAAUGGGCAGCGAACUCGCGAGACGGAGCCAAUCCUGAAAAGCCGGUCUCAGUUCGGAUUGCAGGCUGCAACUCGCCUGCAUGAAGUCGGAGUUGCUAGUAAACGCGCGUCAGCCACAGUGCGUUGAAUACGUUCCCGGGCCUUGUACACACCGCCCGUCACGUCAUGGAAGUUGGCAACGCCUGAAGUCGGUGGGCUAACCCUAACGGGAGGCAGCCGCCUAAGGCGGGGUCGGUAACUGGGACGAAGUCGUAACAAGGUAGCUGUAGCGGAAGCUGCGGCUGGAUCACCUCC
rnacentral:rRNA from 1 species